UACGGGGGGAGCAAGCGUUGUUCGGAUUUACUGGGCGUAAAGGGCGCGUAGGCGGCCACCGCAAGUCGACUGUGAAAUCUCCGGGCUUAACCCGGAAAGGUCAGCCGAUACUGCGGGGCUAGAGUGCAGAAGGGGCAACUGGGAAUUCUCGGUGUAGCGGUGAAAUGCGUAGAUAUCGAGAGGAACACCUGCGGCGAAGGCGGGUUGCUGGGCUGACACUGACGCUGAAGCGCGAAAGCUAGGGGAGCGAACGGG
rnacentral:rRNA from 1 species